rnacentral:sRNA from 1 species
GGAGCCCUGGCCUCCUCCCAGGGUUCCACAUGUUGCUCUCCCAAUGUGAGCAAGCCCUGGUGGCAGCUGCCAGGGUCCAGUGCAGCCCCUCCCCACAGCAUGCUGGGGGCUAAUUCUGAUGUCAUCUUUCUGCAGAAAACCAUUAGCCCAUCCCUCCAGACUGCCACCCUCAAAGCCGUCUGCCCAGGCCCCAUCUGACACUCUUGACAUCUGCAGGUCCCAGACCCUAUGAUGUGUCCACUCUGGAGGCUCCUCAUCUUCCUCGGGUUGCUGGCCUUGCCCUUGGCACCACACAAGCAGCCUUGGCCUGGCCUGGCCCAAGCCCACAGAGACAACAAAUCCACCCUGGCAAGAAGCUUACCCAUCUAAUUUUCUCUUCAACCAACAUUGACUCUGAUCUACAUCCUGUAUGUUAGCUCCGUGCUCCAGACUGAAAUACAGUGUUGGGUGAACUUUCAACCAGAAUACCCCACUUGGAGCAGCUGUUGCCUGCCACACCCUCUGCAGUUAUUGCUCAGGGCCUCAUAAAGCACAACGCAGAAAGCCGAAUUCAGAACAUCCACUUUGGGGACAGACUAAAUGCCUCAGCACAAGUGGCCCCAGGGCUGGUGGGCUGGCUAAUCAGCGGCGGGAAACACCAGCAGCAGCAAGAGAGCAGCAUCAACAUCACCAACAUUCAGCUGGACUGUGGUGGGAUCCAGAUGUCAUUCCAUAAGGAGUGGUUCUCGGCAAAUAUCUCACUUGAAUUGAGACCGUCCUUCGAUAACGACAUCAUAAAGAUGUGUGCACAUACGAGCAUCGUUGUGGAGUUCUGGCUGGAGAAAGACGAGUUUGGCCGGAGGGAUCUGGUGAUAGGCAAAUGCGAUGCAGAGCCCAGCAGUGUCCAUGUGGCCGUCCUCACUGAGUAAGACCCCAGCUGCCCCUCCCCAGAGCUGGGCUUCCUUCCUGAUGAGCCCCAGCUGCAGGGUCACUUCCUGACCAUCUCCUAAAUUAGUCCAAAGCAGAUCUCAUCCUUCCCCCCGGGAUCUGCUCCUCCUCCCAUGUUCCCAUCCGUGAUGACCCUACCACCCUCCCAGAAGCCAGACUCUUCUCCCUCCUCACUCCUCAAGCCCAUCAUCACAAGUUCCCAUCAAUGACUUGCUAGUAGCCCUCAGCUUCUCUCUUUUAUCUCCAUCUCCUACUCCACUACCUGGAGCACUACAGGAAACUCACCUGGCUUUCCCUGGCCCGGAUCUCCCCUCCUACACUCCAUUCCUCAACCUGCAGCAGAAAUAACUUUCUAACACAGAAAUCUGGCCAUGCCCAAGCCCCUGCUCCAAAGCCUCCAGUGGUUCCCAGUGCCCUCUGGGUAAACAGCAACUCCCAAAUUUCACUCAAGGCCCUGCUUGUCCUCUCCCCUGCCAACUUUUCAGCCCUUUGUCCUCCACCACACACCGUACAUUUUCACACCACUGUGCCUUUGCACAUGCUGAUCUUCUUGCCUGGAAUGCCCGUCCCAUCUUCUCUGAAGCUCCUCCUUAUCACUCAUUCAUUCAUAUAUUUCCCAAAAACCUACUGUAUGCCAGCACCACACCUGAUGCUAGGGAUACAGUGGUGAACAAGACACAAAAUACAGCUUUAAUAAAGCUCCAUAGACUGGCUGACCAAGUCUUUCAAUUUCAACUGACUGUAAGUCCCUUGAAGGCAAGACUUGUGCCUGAUUUAUCUCUGUAAUUCCGGAAUGCUGAAAGCAAUGAAGACCUCAGUGGAUGUCUGUUCAUUUAUUCAUCAGAUAUUCAUUGAGUACCUAGAUUGUACCAGACAUUCAUGGGAGGACGGUGUAAGGGAAAACUCUGGAAUCUGGUGCUCUAUUGCCAUGUUUCUAGUAUAACCAGCACUUAUUAGCUGUGUGACCUUGGGCAAGGUCUGAGCUACCCCUUUGAUGAUCACUGACAAUGAUACUUCUGGCAUGGGGCUGAGUGAGGACUAAAAGACUGUGGAAAGUAUACUCAACACAUACCUCCUGGCUUUAAUAUUGCCUGGAUUGCUCUGUUCUGUUCUGUGCCUCUACCUUUCUUUCUAGGGCUAUCCCACCAAAGAUGAAUCAGUUUCUCUACAACCUCAAAGAGAAUCUGCAAAAAGUUCUCCCACACAUGGUAGAAAGUCAGGUAUGUCCUCUGAUCGGUGAAAUCCUCGGGCAGCUGGAUGUGAAACUGUUGAAAAGCCUCAUAGAACAGGAGGCUGCUCAUGAACCAACCCACCAUGAAUCCAGCCAACCCUCUGCAUGCCAGGCUGGAGAGUCCCCCAGCUGACUUCUGCUGAUCAGAAGGAAAGUCCACAUCUUGCGACCUUAAGUCUCCCUUAGAGUGGGGCUUCUGCUACCCUAAAAACUUUACCCCAGGCUCUGUGGACAUCCCAUCCUCUCCUACAAUAAACUCUAGCUCUGAAGGGUG